AUACGAAGGUCCCAAGCGUUAUUCGGAAUCACUGGGCGUAAAGAGUACGUAGGCGGUUUGGUAAGUCAGGUGUGAAAUCCCGAAGCUCAACUUCGGAACUGCAUCCGAUACUGCCAGACUAGAGUAAUGGAGAGGCAGGUGGAAUUCUCGGUGUAGCAGUGAAAUGCGUGGAUAUCGAGAGGAAGACCAAUGGCGAAGGCAGCCUGCUGGACAUUUACUGACGCUGAGGUACGAAGGCUAGGGGAGCAAACAGGAUUAGAAACCCUGGUAGUCC
rnacentral:rRNA from 1 species